rnacentral:lncRNA from 1 species
AUGGUCGAAUAGGUAGACCGAAGACUUGGAUCUGUGAAGGAUCUAAGCCAUCUGAUGAAGCUCUCUUAGAAACCUCUUCUGCCGGGCAGUAACAUCGGGUGACACUUGGAUGAAACCUGAAAUUAAUUCAAAUUUUGAUUAUUUCAAUUUUCAACCAUUAUUAUAAGUAAAUUAAACUAAACUAAUUACUAACCAUGUAGGGUGGCAGGUGUUGAGAUCUGUAAUCACUGUAACAAACACAACUUUCUUACCAAGACCUUUCCAUUUAAGCACCAUUAAUGGAAUGUGUUGCAUCAAUGGAUGCACACUGAUAAUAAUAUCAGGUUUGUACUUCAUCAGAGCAUCCUCAAAUUUCCUUCAAAUACACAUCGAUUAAUUAAUUAUCAACUUGCUAAUUCCACGUCAGUAUCUUUAACGGAUAUUCAUAGAUUCAUAUUCCCAGGCCCCAGCAAAACAUGACAAUUAACGAUAUUAAUUAUCAUUACUUGAUACAAACGUAAUUUAUUUAUUUUAAUUAACAGAGACGUACGUACUUAGCAUAUAGAGAAGCAAUGACAGAGAGA